rnacentral:rRNA from 1 species
CCUACGGGUGGCAGCAGUGGGGAAUAUUGGGUAAUGGGCGCAAGCCUGACCCAGCAACGCCGCGUGAAGGAAGAAGGCUCUCGGGUUGUAAACUUCUUUUAUCAAGGACGAAACAAAUGACGGUACUUGCUGAAUAAGCCACGGCUAACUACGUGCCAGCAGCCGCGGUAAUACGUAGGUGGCAAGCGUUAUCCGGAUUUACUGGGUGUAAAGGGCGUGUAGGCGGGAGUGUAAGUCAGAUGUGAAAACCAUGGGCUCAACCCGUGGCCUGCAUUUGAAACUGUAGGUCUUGAGUGUUGGAGGGGCAGGCGGAAUUCCGGGUGUAGCGGUGAAAUGCGUAGAUAUACGGAGGAACACCAGUGGCGAAGGCGGGCUGCUGGACAAUAACUGACGCUGAGGCGCGAAGGCGUGGGGAGCAAACGGGAUUAGAUACCCUGGUAGUC